UGUGUACUCCCUCCGUUCCAAAAUACUUGACUUCCAUUUGACCAAAAAUGGACGUGCCUAUAUACUAAAACAUGUCUAGAUACAUAUAUAUUUUGACAAAUAGAAGGCAUGUAUUGUGCAACGGAGGGAGUAGAAU
rfam:Triticum aestivum genome assembly, contig: Triticum_aestivum_CS42_TGACv1_scaffold_592035_7BS